rnacentral:rRNA from 1 species
CAAUAGCGUAUAUUAAAGUUGUUGCAGUUAAAAAGACUCGUAGUUGGAUUUCUGGGAGAGUGCCAAUGUCCGCCGAAGUGCGUGCGCAGCGGCGCUCUUUCAUCCUUCUGUUAACGGCUCUCGGCAUUCAUUUGCUGGUGUCGGGCUCAGAUAUUUUACCUUGAGAAAAUUAGAGUGUUUCAGGCAGGCUAGGCCGGAAUACAUUAGCAUGGAAUAAUGGAAUAGGACUACGGUCUCUUUGUUGGUUUGAGGGACUGCAGUAAUGAUUAAUAGGGACAGUUGGGGGCAUUCAUAUUCCAUUGUCAGAGGUGAAAUUCUUGGAUUAACGGAAGAUGAACUUCUGCGAAAGCAUCUGCCAAGGAUGUUUUCAUUGAUCAAGAACGAAAGUUAGGGAUCGAAGACGAUUAGAUACCAU